rnacentral:lncRNA from 1 species
AAAGUUUGCUAGGAGCCUCUGGGAAGGGUUGCUUGACUUUUACAAAGAGACAUUCAUGAGACAUUGACCCUGUUCUUUCUCUUCAGGUGGCUGGAUCAGAGAGUGAUGUCAGGACUUCUGCAGCCAUCUUGUGUCCGUCAGGAGAGCCAGAACAGGGACAAAGUGGACAUGCAGGAGAGGAUGCAGAGGAUCGGAUCCAGACCCCUGGAGGCAUCCCAUCAGGGCACCCUUCCCCCGAGUUUCCCACGAGCUCCCGGGGGCCAGGACUCCAGCAUCUUUUGAGGUGCAGUGGAGGGGGCAGAAUACAGCUCAACCCAUAACGCCCUCCAGACACACAAGCUUGUGAAUAAAACCAGCUGAGGUUUACCAGGGACUCCAAGGUGAGAUUCUAUUCUAUUCUGACCUCUUCACUUUAUUUUUUUGUUUAAAUUAUUUUUAACACCGAAGAUGUUUUGUA